rnacentral:rRNA from 1 species
GUGCCAGCCGCCGCGGUAAUACCGGCAGCACAAGUGAUGGCCGAUCUUAUUGGGCCUAAAGCGUCCGUAGCCGGUCGCGUCGGUCCGUCGGGAAAUCCCUCAGCCUAACUGGGGGGCGUCCGGCGGAAACCACGCGACUUGGGGUCGGAAGAUCCAACGGGUACGUCCGGGGUAGGAGUGAAAUCCCGUAAUCCUGGACGGACCGCCGAUGGCGAAAGCACGUUGGAAAGACGAACCCGACGGUGAGGGACGAAAGCUCGGGUCUCGAACCGGAUUAGAUACCCCAGUAGUCC